CAGUCGCCGCGGGAAUACAGAGGUCCCGAGCGUUGUUCGGAUUCACUGGGCGUAAAGGGUGUGUAGGAGGUUGGAUAAGUCAGGUGUGAAAUCCCGCAGCUCAACUGCGGAACUGCAUUCGAUACUGUUCAACUAGAGGAUCGGAGGGGGAAGCGGAAUUCUUGGUGUAGCGGUGAAAUGCGUAGAUAUCAAGAGGAACACCGGUGGCGAAGGCGGCUUCCUGGAAGAUACCUGACUCUGAAAUACGAAAGCCAGGGGAGCGAAUGGGAUUAGAUACCCGCGUAGUCCCUGUCUCUUAUAC
rnacentral:rRNA from 1 species